UAGUGUGAGACUAGUACGCUUCAGAGGUCGUAAAAGCUGAAUUCGUCGUAUUGCUACUGGAGAGUGGGAAGGUCGUGGAAACUGAAUACGUAGUGUUUCUACUGGAUCGUGGGAAGACCGUGGUAGCUGAAUUCGUCGUGUUUCUACUGGAUCGUGGGAAGGUCGUGGCAGCUGAAUUCGUCGUGUUUCUAUUGGAUUGUGAUUGUGGGACGGUCGUAGAAGCUGAAUUCGUCGUAUUUUUACUGGAUAGCGAGAAGAUCGUAUAAACUAAAUUCGUCGUAUUUCUACUGGGCAAUUUUGUCCAUGUCUGGAGUGGUAGCAGAUGGAUAUCGGCAGCUCACAUUUGUUGGUCCUAAUAUCGUCAAGGAGUAGUCUCCAAGUUCUACUAAACAGGUACAAUUUAUCAAGAAUGAAAGAAUGAGAUGAACUACUCUAUAAAGUCUUAAACUAUCAAAGAAGGCCCAGGACACAAGACUGCAGUUGUAUGAUCACACUCAGACACAGACAGACACGCUAAGGUUGAUGGAUUGAGUUGAAGAUCAGAGAGAAACGAUAAUAGUCAAGAGGACAAAGAAGUGUUUGACAAAGCCAGGUGGAGGAAAUCUGUCUGAAACAUCGACCCCACAUAAAAGCGGAAAAAGCAGUAGUAUGAAGGGAGUUGUGCUCAAAUGACUUGAGCCUGGUUCUUGCACAGCGACAUCCACAAAGUUUCCUUGGGACACUGCUACGAUGGAGGAAAGUAAACUGGACAGCUUUUGGUGUUUAGAUUUUUUUUUCUGCCCUCCCUAGGAACGUGUAAAAUUUCGAUCUUCAUGGAACAACUACUUUAGUGAUAAAAGGCAAGAUAUUUAAUGGAAACUACUUUUUAAGCCUUGUGUACUUGGACAGUAAAAUUGCAUAGACCUAUUGUACAUUUAUACCAGAUUUUUCCUAUCUUGCUCCAGUCUGUUUAAGGGGAAAACUUUAGUAACCUAAAUAAUACACUGAAAGACCUAU